rnacentral:rRNA from 1 species
UACGGAGGAUCCAAGCGUUAUCCGGAAUCAUUGGGUUUAAAGGGUCCGUAGGUGGAUAGAUAAGUCAGAGGUGAAAUCCUGCAGCUCAACUGUAGAACUGCCUUUGAUACUGUUUAUCUUGAGUCAUUAUGAAGUAGUUAGAAUGAGUAGUGUAGCGGUGAAAUGCAUAGAUAUUACUCAGAAUACCGAUUGCGAAGGCAGAUUACUAAUAAUGUACUGACACUGAGGGACGAAAGCGUGGGGAGCGAACAGG